rnacentral:rRNA from 1 species
AACGAACGCUGGCGGCAUGCCUAACACAUGCAAGUCGAACGAGACCUUCGGGUCUAGUGGCGCACGGGUGCGUAACGCGUGGGAACCUGCCCUUAGGUUCGGAAUAACUCCCCGAAAGGGGUGCUAAUACCGGAUAAUGUCUUCGGACCAAAGAUUUAUCGCCUUUGGAUGGGCCCGCGUCGGAUUAGCUAGUUGGUAGGGUAAAAGCCUACCAAGGCGACGAUCCAUAGCUGGUCUGAGAGGAUGAUCAGCCACACUGGGACUGAGACACGGCCCAGACUCCUACGGGAGGCAGCAGUGGGGAAUAUUGGAAAAUGGGCGAAAGCCUGAUCCAGCAAUGCCGCGUGAGUGAUGAAGGCCUUAGGGUUGUAAAGCUCUUUUACCCGGGAUGAUAAUGACAGUACCGGGAGAAUAAGCUCCGGCUAACUACGUG